rnacentral:rRNA from 1 species
UGGGGAAUUUUGGACAAUGGGGGAAACCCUGAUCCAGCCAUCCCGCGUGUGCGAUGAAGGCCUUCGGGUUGUAAAGCACUUUUGGCAGGAAAGAAACGUCAUGGGUUAAUACCCCGUGAAACUGACGGUACCUGCAGAAUAAUCACCGGCUAACUACGUGCCAGCAGCCGCGGCAAUACGUAGGGUGCAAGCGUUAAUCGGAAUUACUGGGCGUAAAGCGUGCGCAGGCGGUUCGGAAAGAAAGAUGUGAAAUCCCAGAGCUCAACUGUGGAACUGCAUUUUUAACUACCGGGCUAGAGUGUGUCAGAGGGAGGUGGAAUUCCGCGUGUAGCAGUGAAAUGCGUGGAUAUGCGGAGGAACACCGAUGGCGAAGGCAGCCUCCUGGGAUAACACUGACGCUCAUGCACGAAAGCGUGGGGAGCAAACAGG